rnacentral:rRNA from 1 species
CCUACGGGUGGCUGCAGUCGAGAAUCUUCGGCAAUGGGCGCAAGCCUGACCGAGCGACGCCACGUGCGGGAUGACGGCCCUCGGGUUGUAAACCGCUGUCGGGGGGGAUGAAGUCAUCGGGAGCAAUCUCCCGGUGUUGACAGAGCCCCGGAGGAAGCGCGGGCUAAGUACGUGCCAGCAGCCGCGGUAAGACGUACUGCGCGAACGUUAUUCGGAAUCACUGGGCUUAAAGGGUGCGCAGGCGGCUCCUCAAGCCCGAAGUGAAAGGCCCCGGCCCAACCGGGGACGUGCUUCGGGGACUGUGGGGCUCGGGCGAGCUAGGGGUCCGUGGAACUCCCGGUGGAGCGGUGAAAUGUGUUGAGAUCGGGAGGAACGCCGGUGGCGAAAGCGACGGACUGGGGCUUUGCCGACGCUCAGGCACGAAAGCCAGGGGAGCGAAC